rnacentral:rRNA from 1 species
CAGCAGCCGCGGUAAUACGAAGGGGGCUAGCGUUGCUCGGAAUGACUGGGCGUAAAGGGCGCGUAGGCGGAUUGUUUAGUUAGGCGUGAAAUUCCUGGGCUUAACCUGGGGACUGCGCUUAAUACAGGCAGUCUAGAGUGAGGAAGAGGGUUGUGGAAUUCCCAGUGUAGAGGUGAAAUUCGUAGAUAUUGGGAAGAACACCGGUGGCGAAGGCGGCGACCUGGUCCUUUACUGACGCUGAGGCGCGAAAGCGUGGGGAGCAAACAGGAUUAGAUACCCGGGUAGUCCCUGUCUCUUAUAC